GAAAAGGAUCUUCCGUUGGACCCAACUGGUGAAUUGGAGGGACUCAGGAAAUUCAUUGAAGACAACAUUGAUCUAUGCAAGUGGAUUGGUAUCAUUGUGAUUUCAACCCAGGCAUUGUCUCUGCUUCUAGCAAUCAUUCUUAGAUCCAUGGUUUCAACCCGUAAAACUGAGUACGACACAGAAGAGGAGGUUGGUGCUCGAGAUAGAACACGGGAGCCGUUGCUUAAUCCACCAGCAAAUCAAGCUUCUGGUGGUGCUCAUUUUGACCUUUGGGGCGCCCGCAUGAGAGAGAAGUACGGAUUGAACAACAGUGACAGAUACAAUUCAUCAAACCAAAGUUCGUAAAUCAAGACCAAAACUCAGGCAGUCGAAACAGAAAGCCUUCGUUACGCAGAUCAGAGGAACCGUGACGUUACAAGAUUCUCUCUUUGCUACAUUGUUAUUUAACCUUCGACUUCAAUUGAAAGUCGCAAGGCGAACUGGUCAAUGGUAUCUGUAAGUUUCUGUUCAACUUUGUCGCGUGCUUUGAUUUUGGUUGGUCUGAUAGGAGAUUGGAUCGCAAUCAGCUUUGUGAAAGAAUGGAAGGUUGUGUGUAUGAUAAGUUGAGGAAUUUGAAUGAGUUCUAUUUUUCCAUUCUAAUCUUGUAAAGUUGAUGGUUGAUAUUAACU
rnacentral:misc_RNA from 1 species